UGAUAAAACAUAAAAAAUCAUUAUCCUUUUUAUCUAUAUUAUUCUUAAUAAUAUAGAUUCAUGAGAAUGAUUGCCACGAGCUGCAAAUUGCGACAAGAGAAAGAACCUAUAAAUUAUGAAUACUUGUUUUAAAUAAAAUAUAUUAAAUAAUAUUUUUUUUAUCUAUUUUUACAAGAUGGCAUGUGAUUUUAUCUCUUCUCAUGAACCAUAAUUCCCCAUAUGCGACUACUAAACAAACAAAAAAAAAAAGAAGGUUUUUGACAAGUAAAGGUGGGCAAAGCCCAGAAUGACAACAAGCAUCUUUACUGGGCGAGACAAUAGAUGGGUAAGAGAGCAGGCCCACAGUUGUCAACACGAAAAAAAUUGAAGUGGUGGCUGCAGUGCACCUGAAUAAUCAAGUGCAGAUCCGGCCUAGUAAAGGUGAUAUACUUGAAAUGCCGUUCAUCACAUGCCUUCUCUCUUCCAGGCAAUUUCACUCAGACACUUGAAAUUUCAUUGAUUGAUAGCGAAGAAGAAGCAACUUCCAUCACUCCAGCAAAUGGUGAACUAUCAAUUUGCUUCUCGUUGAAUUCUUUUUACAUGUAAAUAACACUUUGUUUGCUUCACCAAGUCAUUUUCACAAACAGUUUGUGCUCCAUUCUGUGAUCUUUUAUUUCUUCUUCUGAUGCUUAGGCUUUUGAAAUUCUGGAGUCAUUGCUAGAAUUACAAGUUAACAUUAAUGGGUUCUUCGGUUCUAGAUUGUAAAAAGGCCCGCAUUGCAGAUCCAAUCACUGGAACAAAUCCACUUUAGUGCAUUGCUUUGCUGCAGGUAUGAAAACAUUUCUUACUCAUAGAAAUGUCUUAAAUUUGAUAUGGGGACAUUGAGUUUUUUCGGUCUGUUUUUCACUCUUUGCCGGUAUAAGAAUGUGCUAGAUGCUAGCACGUGAUCUUUUGCGAUAAAGAUGUCGUGUACCAGCUUAACUCAGGGUGCUUCUUGGGGAAGCUCUCUCUUAUGACAAUGAUGGCUUCUGACUUUCUCACUUCAUUGAAUAAUCCAUGCACGAAAAGCCGAUGAGGCUGAAGGGGUUUUGGAUUGUUUCUUGUGGACUCAUGGUACAUCCUCCCUACAAUUUACAAACUUGCUGUGAAUUCUUUUGUAUUCUCAUUACAGGGGAAGAAAUGUGUGCACUCUUCAAGAAGGUGAGAGAGAGAUGGGAUGCCAACUGAUAUAUGCACAUCAUGUCUAAAAUUCUGUCUAUGGCAUGAAUAUGUCAAUGAGUUUAGAUUGUGAGAUGAAAUGCAAAUGUUUCAAGUCCUGAUCGUAGCUCAUUUGUUUUGUUGGUAUAUUAGUUUUUAUAUGGAAAGUUGGAUGUAGCCUGCAAAUAUUGCGAUUUGGAACAAACAAAUAAUGGCUAUUGCUACAACUGAAGAUAGUUGAGAUGCUCUGUUACUUGUUGUCUAAUAAGCAAAUAACUGAUUCAAGAGGUGAUCAAUUGUGUAGCAGUCAGACAGUAAAUCAAACCAGAACCAUCUCUAAGGAAACUGAUAAUGGGAAAGUCUUUCUCCUACAAGCCGACUCUAAAAGAGUUGUGAUAGCCUGAGAGGGAAUGGAUUUUCUUUUUGGAGCGGUUGGUUCUUGUUUAAUAUAUUAAAUCUCAAUCAGCAGUUCUCAACUUACAGCAUCGAAAGCUCUAUGAACUCAUGUACCACUUUUUAACUCACUCAACUAAAUGCCAAUCCCAAUCUAGUUGAGGUAGGUUACGUGAAUUCUUUGUUCUCUAUUUAUGUUAUACUAGAUGCCUUCACAAAAUUUGCUUUCAACAACGUGUGCUAAGCAGCUGAAACAGAUGAGUAUAUUUUGAGUUGUUUUCCUUUAUGAUCCCCUUGUAUGCAUGCCCCUCGUUUGAACUUCUUUACUUUUAAAUUGAUAUUUGAUCUUUACAUAUUGGGAAAGAUAAAAUUGAUCCAAUACAAUUACUUUUAAAGUACUCGUUUCUUUUUUUCUUUUUUUCGCUUGUCUAUUCCAUGGCAAAUUAGAUGUUAGCCACGUAUAUAGAUUUAAGGUAUUGUAGGGUGCCAUAUUAAGGAGGUCCGAUAUCAGUUUAAAGAUGUGUGGUUGAUUCCUGACUCAGGAGUGAUAUCUAUUGGCUGAAACUAUUGUAGGAUGUCAUUUUCAAGGCUCAAUAAUGGGGCUUCAAUCAACUUCAUUUUCAUUUGAGUGGGAAGUGGCAUUAUUAUGCCAGUCAGUUAUAUCAGUGCUCUUCUUUUGACCAAGGGUUGUCACCAUCAAUAUCAUCGUGAGAGCAUGUUACCAAAUACCAACUGGUUUUAAGAGAGUAGUCUGUUGAAUGCCAAACCACCGUGUAGGUUAAGGAACACCAGACGCUGAACAGAGGACACAUAGUAGCAACAGGAAGUUAAAAUCUGGCUUCUGGUCUUCGUUUUCUGCGCAAGGACCAAUAGAUAUUGAAAACAAGUUCUCCAUUUCUUUCUCUAAAGCAUUUUUGCGAUAAGGUUAUGGAGAGUAGUCCAUGACCUGUGGAUUCGUGUGAGUUCCAUGUUUGGCCUAACUCAUUAUGUUGUGGCUCAAAUGAGAAACCCGGUCCUUCAACAUUUGACAUGGGGUGGCAACUAGCUGCUAGGUUAGGUGAGCUACACGUGGAUAACGACAAGGGGUCAUAAUCAACUAUGACCUUUUCAUGGAUGGAAAUCAGCUAGCUAUUGCAUGUUCAUACUGCAUGCUUGUCAUGCCUAUUGACUAGUCCAACAUACAUCUGUGCAUCACGAUCUUGCGUUCACAGUCAAGGAGAUAACAACCAAUCACAUGUCAUUCUAGUGCAAAUGUUUUCAAGCUGCAGCGCACCAUGCAUGUUUGGAUGAAAAGAUGUGGAAUCAAAUGCCUAUGAAAUACUUUUCUUAUCAAUAUAAUGAUCAGAUAAGGAUGAUUUUGGCUUUUGUUGGGAGCGGCGAACCAGGUGAGUUUUCGUCUCUGUUUCUACCUUUGAGGUUAAUUGAAAGUCAAGGCACUCAGAAGAGCGUGGGGUGUCCUAUUGACCAGCCAGGAGGAAUACCUUUAAAUUCUCAACUGAUAUUGGCUUUGCCUUUACCUAGGUAUUCUUUGUUCUUCUGUCUAUCUAUAAAGCUCAAAAACUGCGACUGGGACAAAGAUCAUGGGCUGCCUGUCAAGGGACGGCGAGAAAAAUAAUUUUUAUAUUCCAUUUUUGGCACGUGGGUAUGUGAAUUUUAGCUGAACAAGUUACCUACUAUAUGACUUGUCCAAAAAAAUAAAGUUACCUAUUAUAUGGGAAAGGAGAGAGAACAUCAGAAAGUGAAAACCCCUGAUACUUUUGCUUUACAUCACACAUGACAUAACUCGAAGCAUAAAUCUUAUUCCUCAUGGUAAA